CCUACGGGAGGCAGCAGUGGGGAAUUUUGGACAAUGGGCGAAAGCCUGAUCCAGCAAUACCGCGUGCAGGAAGAAGGCCUUCGGGUUGUAAACUGCUUUUGUACGGAACGAAAAGGUCUGCCUUAAUACGGUGGGCUCAUGACGGUACCGUAAGAAUAAGCACCGGCUAACUACGUGCCAGCAGCCGCGGUAAU
rnacentral:rRNA from 1 species